rnacentral:rRNA from 1 species
UACGUAGGGAGCAAGCGUUGUCCGGAAUCAUUGGGCGUAAAGCGCGCGUAGGUGGCCUCGUAAGUCCGCUGUAAAAGUCAAAGGCUCAACCUUUGAAAGCCGGUGGAUACUGCGGGGCUAGAGUACGGAAGAGGCGAGUGGAAUUCCUGGUGUAGCGGUGAAAUGCGCAGAUAUCAGGAGGAACACCAAUGGCGAAGGCAGUGUUCUGGGCCAGUACUGACGCUGAGGAGCGAAAGCGUGGGGAGCAAACAGG